UGCUAUGAGGCAUGCGGCUUGUUUCCCUA
rnacentral:piRNA from 1 species